rnacentral:rRNA from 1 species
UACGUAGGGGGCGAGCGUUGUCCGGAGUUACUGGGCGUAAAGCGCACGCAGGCGGUCUGCUAAGUUUGGAGUGACAGUUGGUGGCUUAACUGCCAAAGUGCUUCGAAAACUGACAGACUUGAGGGCUUCAGAGGGACACGGAAUUCCGGGUGGAGUGGUGAAAUGGCGUAGAGAUCCGGAGGAACACCAAAGGCGAAGGCAGUGUCCUGGGGAGUA